CGGGCAAUCAGAUUGAGAGAGUCCUCAUACGUUGGCUCCCAGUACUUUGAUUUGGGAAUCCCUUUGUCAUAUGCUUUCUGAAAUUCACUUUGUGCCUGAAGGGCCAUAACACCAGAUCCAAACNNNNNNNNNNCUGAGACAGGUAAAGCAUCAAUGGCCUUAUACACAUAAUCUGGAACAGUGGCACGAUCACGUAAUUCCUUUGACAAGGCAUCAACCUGCUCUUUGCUUGGUAC
rnacentral:misc_RNA from 1 species